UGAUGACGAGACGCUAAGGCGUUGAAGCAGUGUAUGUCAGACUUCCAAGAAAAGCUCGCAAUGUCACAAAUAAAAAGUGCCUGUACCAUAACCGACACAGGUGGGUAGGUAGAGUAUACUAAGGGGCGCGAGAUAACUCUCUCUAAGGAACUCGGCAAAAUGACUCCGUAACUUCGGGAGAAGGAGUGCCUUAUUUAUAAGGUUGCAAUAACAAGAUCCAAGCAACUGUUUAUCAAAAACACAGGUCUCCGCUAAGUCGUAAGACGAUGUAUGGGGGCUGACGCCUGCCCAGUGCCAGAAGGUUAAAGAAGUUGGUUAGUGUAUGCGAAGCUGAUGACUGAAGCCCUGGUGAACGGCUGCCGUAACCAUAACGGUCCUAAGGUAGCGAAAUUCCUUGUCGGGUAAGUUCCGACCCGCACGAAAGGCGUAAUGAUUUGGAUACUGUCUCGGAGAGAGGCUCGGUGAAACAGACUUGUCUGUGAAGAUGCGGACUACCUGCACCAGGACAGAAAGACCCUAUGAAGCUUUACUGUAACUUGAAAUUGGAAUUGGACUUUGCUUGCGCAGUAUAGGUGGGAAGCGUUGAAAAUAUUCUUGCGGGAGUAUUGGAGCUAUCAGUGAGAUACCACUCUUGUAAUGUUAGAUUUCUAACUUUGAACCAUAAUCUGGUCAAAGAACAGUUUCAGGUGGGCAGUUUGACUGGGGCGGUCGCCUCCCAAAUGGUAACGGAGGCGUACAAAGGUUUCCUCUGAACGGAUAGAAAUCGUAUCUAGAGUGUAAAGGCAUAAGGAAGCUUGACUGUGAGACCUACAAGUCGAGCAGGGACGAAAGUCGGUCUUAGUGAUCUGACGGUACUGAGUGGAAAGGCCGUCACUCAACGGAUAAAAGUUACUCUAAGGAUAACAGGCUGAUCUCCCCCAAGAGUUCACAUCGACGGGGAGGUUUGGCACCUCGAUGUCGGCUCAUCGCAUCCUGGGGCGGUAGUACGUCCCAAGGGUUGGGCUGUUCGCCCAUGAAAGCGGUACGCGAGCUGGGUUCAGAACGUCGUGAGACAGUUCGGUCCAUAUCCGGUGUAGGCGCUAGAAUAUUGAGAGGAGCCUUCUUUAGUACGAGAGGACCGAGAAGGACACACCGCUGGUGUACCAGUUAUCGUGCCAACGGUAAACGCUGGGUAGCUAUGUGUGGAGUGGAUAACCGCUGAAAGCAUCUAAGUGGGAAGCCCACCUCGAGAUGAGUAUUCUC
rnacentral:rRNA from 1 species